rnacentral:rRNA from 1 species
AUUGAACGCUGGCGGCAGGCCUAACACAUGCAAGUCGAGCGAGCGGCGGACGGGUGAGUAAUGUAUGGGGACCGUCCGUGAGAGUGGGAUAAAGACUGGAAACGGGGGCUAAUACCGCAUAUUGUCGGAUAACCCAUAGGUGAUUAGCUAGUAGGUAAGGUAAUGGUGGACCAAGGCGACGAUCCCUAGCUGGUCUGAGAGGAGGAUCAGCCAACGUGGGACUGGGACACGGCCCAGACUCCGAGGUAGGCAGCAGUGGGGAAUAUGGGACAAUGGGCGCAGGCCUGAUGCAGCCAUGCCGCGUGUAUGAAGAAGGCCGUAGGGUUGUAAAGUACUUUCAGUCGUGAGGCGUUACCGACAGAAGAAGCACCGGCUAACUCCGUGCCAGCAGCCGCGGUAAUUC